UACAGAGGUCUCAAGCGUUGUUCGGAUUCAUUGGGCGUAAAGGGUGCGUAGGCGGCUUGUCGCGUCGGCUGUGAAAACCUGGGGCUCAACCCCGGGCCUGCAGCCGAUACGGGCAAGCUAGAAUUCGGUAGGGGAGACUGGAAUUCCUGGUGUAGCGGUGAAAUGCGCAGAUAUCAGGAGGAACACCGGUGGCGAAGGCGGGUCUCUGGGCCGAAAUUGACGCUGAGGAGCGAAAGCGUGGGGAGCAAACAGG
rnacentral:rRNA from 1 species